ACACAAAACGGACCAAAAUAAAUGCUUUGCUUCCCUAAAAGGGGCAAGACAUCCCCCCUGGGACUGGCAGAGGUGGUACCGGCAUAAGGGAGGGCGAAACCGCUCGCUGGUCACGUGACCUACCCUCCCGGAUUGGGCGGCUCCAGACAGGGAAGGGGAGCUCGACGCCCCAGUUCUCGGUUUGGCCACGCCCCCCGCCCUGGUGAGACCACGCCCCCCACAGGGGGCGGAUCUAGAGAGAUCCCGACCGGCCCGCGCCCCGAAGGCUGCCCAGGGAAAGAGCAGUGAGCAGGAAUGAGUGGGGCACAUUCCUGAGCUCCUACUUAUUUAAUUCUCAUGGCAGUGCUAUGAAGUACUGGCAUUUCCCCCGCUUUAUAGUAGUGGAAACAGAUUCAGGGUCGCAGAGUUGAGAUAGGAACCAAGGCAGCUUUAGCGACUUUACUGUGCAAUGAUAUCAAUACUAGCUUCUUGAUGAACUCCCUGUGGACCAUCCCUGGGAAGGGGUGAGAAGCAAAUAUUUAUUGAGUCCCAGUGAUGUAUCUGGCGCUGUCCUAGGCACUGAGGAUACAAACGUGAACACGUGCACCCUCUGCCCACCGGGAGGUUACGCUCUGCAGAGGAGACAGAUGGUAAGUGAUCGCUAAAAUGACAAUUAGCGCUGGUGGCUUGGAAGUGCCAUUUACUGAGAGCAGAACAUUUGGGAGGGGACACAUUUAGGGAGGCAAAUCAAGAGUUUUAGGUUGGACGUGUUAGGUUUGAGGUGCCUAGGAGAGGUGCAAGGAAGAAUGUCCGGUAGGUGGCUGUUGGAGCAGGGCUGGGGCUCAGCAGAAGAGUCUGAGUUGGAAUAGAGCCUUGGGAAGGUGUGGUAUUUUAGAGCCGAUGAAGUCAUAAAGAGGUUCAGGGAAAAGACAAGAUGGCCUAAUACCAAGCCCUGUGGAACUCCAACAUUAGAGGUCAGGCAGAGGAGAACAAGCUGCCAAAGGAGAAGCAGAGAGCUAAGAAAAAAGUCAGGAGAAUGUGGAGUUCUGGAACCCAAAAGGAAAGAGGCUUCCAAGAAGGGAAUGGGCAACUGUGUUGAGUGAGUGCUGCAGAGAUGAAGCAAGACUGGCCUGGGAAGUGCCCACAGGAUUGGAAAACGUGGAGGCCCCUGGUGGAUGCUCUGCUUGCAGUGGGCUGCAGCCCACGUGUCUCUCCGCAUGUGCAGACUUGGUGAUUGUCCAGCUGCAGGCUGAAGAUCUCCAUCUGGAUGCUCACGGACGGUGGUGUGUUGGAGUCAGCUCGUGCCAGCUCAGACCAGCUCACAAGAGCCCAUUGUAUACCUCUCUUCCCAACUCCUUGUUCAGUGAGGUCACGUUGAUAGUAGUAACUUGUCAUUGUCAUGGUGAGAGUGUUCAUACCAUGGAAAUCGGCAAAUACUUCAGAUCGGGGCUCCAUCUCCUCAAAGAGUUGUUGUUAAAACAUUUACUGAACACCGCUGUUCACAGAUGUCUUACACUCAACAUAUUCGAAACUAAAUUAAUCCUUUUCCACCUCACCCCACCCUGCCCAACCCUACCCCUUCUCUGAAUCUCUUGGCCCAGUUAACAGCAUCCACCAUCCAGCCAGGAGCUUCUCACUCCCUCAUUCCCCAUAUCCAAAGGAUAGUCACUAGUUAGGGUAUAGUUAAAACUGCUAUAACAAAGAGUCCCAAAAAUUCAGUGGCUUAACUGACAACCCCAAAAUACAUUCUCCAGGACUGCGGGGGCAUCUCUGCCAACCUCAACAUGUGAGUUCCAUCUCUGUGUCCAGUGUGGCCCAGGCAGCUCCCACUGUUGUGUCUGAAUCUCAUCUAUUGGGAAGGGGAGAGGGGUGGGGUGGAAGCACAACUCCUUUUCUGUUUAAGGACACCACUAACUUCUGCUCAGAAGUUGGCCAGAUGCAAGGAAGGCUGGGAAAAGUAGUCUGUAGCCAUAUACCCAGCUAAAACGUUUUUCAUAAAGAAAGAUGGAAGAUGGCUAUUAAUGUAAGGCUAGCGGUCUAUGUCAUCGGUGGACACAUCUUGUCAGUGCCACCUCUCAAAUUUUGCUUCAUUCCAUCACUUCCACUGCAUGCCGAGCGCUGUUUCCUGGCCUCUAGGAUAGUCCCUCUCUAAUCAACCUACCAAAUAGCUGCCGGAGAUAUCUUUCUAAAAUGCAAAUUGGAUCAUAUAACUUUGUUUUUAAAAGCCAUGCAGUAGUUCCCUAUUGAUUCCAAGAGAAGGGCCAAACUUCUUUGCAUGAUGCAUGGGCUGGGUCUUGUCAGAAUGCCUCCCACCCCCACUCCAGCUCAACUGCCUUGUCAGCCAGGAGAAUUCAGGUCAUUUUCUCAGGCUGAGUUUCCAUAUUGCCUGCCUGACCACACUGUUGCCGCCCCACUGCAAUGCUGGCUCCAUUCCCACUGCAGCCUCUACUGGACUAUUCAUUUCUGGCCACUUGCCACCUGCACUAGGGGCUUCCUGUGAAGCCAAGGCACUUGGUUUUUCUGGCAUAGGGCUGGAUAAGAGCUCACCCAGCAAUGAACAGACCCUCACGAGCUGCCCAAUCAUUUCCAAGGUGUGGAGCCUGAGGGUCCUGACUUACCACUUUCAAUGUCAUUACCAGGUGCUCAGCCAACUGACUGUGGGCCUGGAAUGUGGGAACCUCCAGAUGCCUUUAUUGAGUUAGUCGUUUGAUCAUCUACCUUCCAGGAGAGACGUUAAACUCUGUGAAACUCACGGGAAGCUAUAUGGGCCAGGCUAGUCCCAGUGCCUAUCGGGUACUUAGAGAGCAUCUAUGAAACGAAUAGAAGCAGGGCAACAUUUCCCCCAGAUCGAUACUUUUUGCAUGCCCCAGUUCAAAUCUCAGCUCUAUCACCUAGCAGCUGAGUGACCUUGGGCAAAUCACUGAACCUCUCCAUGCCUUUGUUUCCCCUGCAAGAUGGGGAUAGUGAUCGAGUCAUUAUGAGGACUAAAUGACUUAGUAUUUGUAAAACAUUUAUAACAGUGCCUGGCAGAGUAGAUGCUUGUGUUUGCUAAAUAAAAAUAGAGUUCAGGCGUGAACAGGUUGGUCUUUGACUACUUUUCCAGUCUCAUCUCCCCCUGACACUGCUCUCUGCCACCAGCUCAUAGCCAACUCUCCUUCUAGACUGAGCUCCUAACUAUUUCAACAUAUGCCAGAAACAUUCAUGUCUCUGGGCCUUUGCACAUGCUGUUUUCUGUGUGGAAGACCUUCCCCACCUUGUUCACCAGUGAACCCCUAUUCAUCCUUCACAGUUCAGUUCAAACUUUACUUCUGGCAGCCUCCCUGGACUCUCAGAGACAGGUAGCCCCUUCUUCCCCUGGGCCUCCAUUUCACCCCACUUUCAUGCAUGUCUGAGCUCCUCACUGCACCAAAACUCCUUGAAAGCAGGGCUAUCUCUUAUACACCUCAGUAUUCCUAUGCCUCUUGGAAGGCCUGGCACGCCGUGGGCAUAAAAGAUGUUUGUUGAAUCAAUGAAUGACGAAUGAAAUAUAUUUAUAACCUUCACUUUAGCCACUUCCGUAAUACAAUAGAAUAUCGUGUCAGAUCCCAUGACAAGUGAAAAUGCACCACAGUUGACCAGGAGGUGCUGUAAUUAGCCGACUGUCGCUGUUCCACCAGCUAGGAGAGGAAAAUUCACUUCCCAUUACCAAGUAGACUACAGAUUUCCAACUUAUGCAUAAAAAUAUGAAAGCCUCAAAAACUCCCCAGGGACAUUCUUAGGACUCAGUGUUUACCGAGUAGUCCUGCGUGCCCAGCUCUUAGCCAGGGACUUGACUGUGGCAUCAGACUGAGUCCUCAUCCCUAUACAUGGGGACCGUGAUGCUUGGAGAGGAAGACAGAGGUAUUGUGAAACAAGGUCAUCUCUCAACUGGCUGAGAAGAGGUGUGAGUUCUAGUCCUGGCUCUGCCCCAGUGGGCUGUGUGACCCAAGUGCCUCCAUCUGGGGAAAACCCUGUAAAAUCCAGGGUUUGGAUCCAUGAUCAGUAAGGUUUCUCCCAACUGGGGCAGUUUCUGAAUCUGAGAGGCUGAGUGGGGUGGGGGAGGGAUGUAGUAGUGGGAAUUGACAAGAUGAACUUACAGGGGAAGGGAAGCAACUCAUUAAAUGUCAACAAAAGAAGAGUUGCAGGCCGUGAAUAGAAUCACUUUCCCCUCCUCCAGUGUUCACUUAACCCUCACCUCCCAUUUAGAAAGGUGAAUAAAUACAGGCGCCAGAGGUUUAGGGGCUCAUCCAGUUCAUCCAGGCCUCAAUUUAUAGAGAGGUCAAUGACUGACCUAGGGUCACUCAGGAAUAUUUCAGUUUCCCAGCUCCUGAGUCAGCGCUCCCCACUACAGCUCACCCCUUCCCCUGCAGCCUGGACUCCUCCAGUCUGGGGAGCCAGGCAGGACUCUGAACCAAUCCUGUGCAUGUGAAAUGCCACCAUUGCCAGUGGGUAACCAAUGAGCCAGCUCAAACCUUCUGUCCUUUGGCUGGGGAUGGGUGGAGUCCCUUCCAGAGUGGGCAUCUGGUGAGCAGAGACCCUUCAGGGGCAUGCAGCUAUCACACAGUACCCUCUUCUUCUGCCAUCUCUGGUCUUAAUGUUCCCUCUACCCCCAAGCAAGUAGGUAGGAGAGCCCUUAACACAUGUAUUCACAUGUACCUACAUGCAUACAUACAUAUGCACAUGCACACAUAUAUCGACACACAUAAACACACACACACAGGCACACACCUACACAGCCUCACAUAAGAGUCUCACAGCUAAGCAAGGCUGUCAGAGCUGCUCCUUCGCCUUUGCUGUCAAAACUGCUGUGGAGGUGGCAUCAUGCCAGGCGCCUAGGAGAACCGAAGAGCCAACUAGUGGAAAAUGUACUUGCUUGAUAAAUGCCUCCUGAGGAGAGCAGAGGAAGAGAGAGGGCAGGGGAAAGGAAGCUACAGCUGGGCUAGCUGAGCGCCCAUGUGUGAAUGUGUGUACACGUGUGUAUGUAUAAGGCCCAGGCACCAGGGGACCAGUGGCCCUCAGAAAGACAAGGGUGGACCAGCUCCAGUGGCAUAGUGGUUAAGUUCCGUGUGCUCCACUUCAGCAGCCCUGUUUGGGGGCAUGGACCUAC